AAACUUGGCAAUGCGAGAAAUCGUGACCAGGGAACUCCAAGUGGCUGGGGUAAGACCCAGUCUUUUCUUGACUCUUCAAAGGUCUUGGAAUAAGAGGUGGGUAAGGACGGUGCCAGCCGCCGUGGUAAUACCGGCGCCUCAAGUGGUAGUCGAUUUUAUUGGGCCUAAAACGUCCGUAGCCUGUUUGGUACAUUCGUGGGUAAAUCAACCAGCUCAACUGGUUGAAUUCUGCGAGCACGGCCAGACUUGGGACCGGGAGAGGUGUGGGGUACGCUCAGGGUAGGGGUAAAAUCCUGUCAUCCUGAGCGGACCACCUGUUGCGAAGGCGCCACACUAGAACGGAUCCGACGGUCAGGGACGAAGCCUAGGGGCACGAACCGGAUUAGAUACCCGGGUAGUCCUAGGUGUAAACGCUGUGGACUUGGUGUUGGGGAUUCUCCGAGGAUUCUCAGUGCCGAAGCGAAGGUGAUAAGUCCACUGCCUGGGGAGUACGGUCGCAAGGCUGGAACUUAA
rnacentral:rRNA from 1 species